CUGGGCGGUCCUUCCGGCGUCAACCGCAAGCGACUUUCUGUGAACUCAGUACACAUUUGGUGAAAUCGGUUCCCUGGUGGGGAUCUUGGGAACCCUGUGCCGCCUUGAGGUAUAGCGAGCUGGGUAGGCGCUGGUAUAGCUGUCCGGAGGCGGAUGUGAGGCUCGGCGUGGGCUCCAUUCGGCCAGAAUCUGUCUCCGUGCUGGAACAGGAGCCGCCGUGCCCGGGCCCCUCCUUGCCUACCGACUCGGCUGGAACGGCUGCGUUGAUGAGUACGAUUGAGGGCCCUGUGACCUUUGAGGACAUGGCUGUGUACUUUUCCCAGGAGGAAUGGAGGCUCCUUGAUGAGGCCUAGAGAUGCCUGUACCAUGAUAUCAUGCUGGAGACCUUUGUACUGGUUGCAUCCUUGGGUUGUUGGCAUGGAAUAAAGAUCAAGCAGAGAACUUCAGAGCAGAAUGUUUCUGUAGAAGUGCCACAGAGAAAUACCUCAAAGAUAGACCUCUCCACCCAGCCUCUCCCUGGGACAUGUGUAGCCUGAAUGUAGAAGGUGGUGUGUGUGUAGCUGAGGACAUGGGAAUAAACCCCAGCCAGACCCUAUGUGGAGCAGGUUUGAAAUUUCAGCAGAACAGUGGAGAUAAACUCUUCAGAAGAGACGUGGGUAAGGCCUUUAUGAAGAGAUGCACAGUCCACGCACUGGGGAAGGCUUUUAUGUACUGUGAGGCUCGGAAGGAUUUCCCUGGUAUCUCUCACUAUUUCUAGCACUAGAUUAAAUUGCAAAAGGACACUGA